UGAAGUUAGCGGCGGACGGGUGAGUAACACGUGGGUAACCUGCCCAUAAGACUGGGAUAACUCCGGGAAACCGGGGCUAAUACCGGAUAACAUUUUGAACUGCAUGGUUCGAAAUUGAAAGGCGGCUUCGGCUGUCACUUAUGGAUGGACCCGCGUCGCAUUAGCUAGUUGGUGAGGUAACGGCUCACCAAGGCAACGAUGCGUAGCCGACCUGAGAGGGUGAUCGGCCACACUGGGACUGAGACACGGCCCAGACUCCUACGGGAGGCAGCAGUAGGGAAUCUUCCGCAAUGGACGAAAGUCUGACGGAGCAACGCCGCGUGAGUGAUGAAGGCUUUCGGGUCGUAAAACUCUGUUGUUAGGGAAGAACAAGUGCUAGUUGAAUAAGCUGGCACCUUGACGGUACCUAACCAGAAAGCCACGGCUAACUACGUGCCAGCAGCCGCGGUAAUACGUAGGUGGCAAGCGUUAUCCGGAAUUAUUGGGCGUAAAGCGCGCGCAGGUGGUUUCUUAAGUCUGAUGUGAAAGCCCACGGCUCAACCGUGGAGGGUCAUUGGAAACUGGGAGACUUGAGUGCAGAAGAGGAAAGUGGAAUUCCAUGUGUAGCGGUGAAAUGCGUAGAGAUAUGGAGGAACACCAGUGGCGAAGGCGACUUUCUGGUCUGUAACUGACACUGAGGCGCGAAAGCGUGGGGAGCAAAC
rnacentral:rRNA from 1 species